AGCGAACGCUGGCGGCAGGCCUAACACAUGCAAGUCGAACGAAGUCUUCGGACUUAGCGGCGGACGGGUGAGUAACACGUGGGAACGUGCCUUUAGGUUCGGAAUAACUCAGGGAAACUUGUGCUAAUACCGAAUGUGCCCUUCGGGGGAAAGAUUUAUCGCCUUUAGAGCGGCCCGCGUCUGAUUAGCUAGUUGGUGAGGUAAAGGCUCACCAAGGCGACGAUCAGUAGCUGGUCUGAGAGGAUGAUCAGCCACAUUGGGACUGAGACACGGCCCAAACUCCUACGGGAGGCAGCAGUGGGGAAUCUUGCGCAAUGGGCGAAAGCCUGACGCAGCCAUGCCGCGUGAAUGAUGAAGGUCUUAGGAUUGUAAAAUUCUUUCACCGGGGACGAUAAUGACGGUACCCGGAGAAGAAGCCCCGGCUAACUUCGUGCCAGCCGCCGCAGUAACUC
rnacentral:rRNA from 1 species